GACGAACGCUGGCGGCGUGCUUAACACAUGCAAGUCGAACGGAAAGGCCCCCUUGUGGGGUACUCGAGUGGCGAACGGGUGAGUAACACGUGAGUAACCUACCCUUGACUUUGGGAUAACUUCAGGAAACUGGGGCUAAUACCGGAUAGGAGCUCCUGCUGCAUGGUGGGGGUUGGAAAGUUUCGGCGGUUGGGGAUGGACUCGCGGCUUAUCAGCUUGUUGGUGGGGUAGUGGCUCACCAAGGCUUUGACGGGUAGCCGGCCUGAGAGGGUGACCGGCCACAUUGGGACUGAGAUACGGCCCAGACUCCUACGGGAGGCAGCAGUGGGGAAUAUUGCACAAUGGGCGGAAGCCUGAUGCAGCAACGCCGCGUGCGGGAUGACGGCCUUCGGGUUGUAAACCGCUUUCGCCUGUGACGAAGCGUGAGUGACGGUAAUGGGCAAAGAAGCACCGGCUAACUACGUG
rnacentral:rRNA from 1 species